AUUGAACGCUGGCGGCAUGCCUAACACAUGCAAGUCGAGCGGAGUGGCGGACGGGUGAGUAAUGUCUAGGAAUCUGCCCGGUAGUGGGGGAUAACUACCGGAAACGGUCGCUAAUACCGCAUACUAUUAGAUGAGCCUAGGGCGGAUUAGCUAGUUGGUGGGGUAAAGGCCGACCAAGGCGACGAUCCGUAACUGGUUGGAGAGGACGAUCAGACACACGUGGACUGAGACACGGCCCAGACUCCUACGGGAGGCAGCAGUGGGGAAUAUUGGACAAUGGGCGAAAGCCUGAGCCAGCCAUGCCGCGUGUGUGAAGAAGGCCUUCGGGUUGUAAAGCACUUUAAGUUGGGAGGCGUUACCAGCAGAAUAAGCACCGGCUAACUUCGUGCCAGCAGCCGCGGUAAUAC
rnacentral:rRNA from 1 species